AGCACGCAAGCAACAGAGCCCAACGAAGCCACCAGCAGCACGGAGAUGGGAAAUAUCAAAGGACAAACCUCAGCCCUGCAUCAAACCUUGCAAGCCGUGGAGAGUCGGGUCCCUGACCACAAAUCAGCACAGCCUCAAACCUGGGACACAAACUGGUAACAACGUACCCUUCCUAACCAGCGUCUGGAAACGCCAUAGCAGGAUAGCAGAGCAGCUGGAUUCCGGUAAACGACCGCUAAGCGGCAUCGGUUGACUGAGCCUGGCAAUACCAAGCACCAAGCAGCGCAGAGCCUGGGCCGCUUUUAUCAUAUAUUUUUUCUUUUUUCGCUUCUCAAAUUUAAACUGGCCCACUGCUGAUUGACUCUGAGUUGCAUGACUGCGCUGACUUAUUCUUCUGAUUAUAAUUAUUGUUUUUAUUUGAAUUGUCUAGGCCUCACGUAAAUAUCCAGUGACUGCCAUACGCCCGCUGGGAACGUGCUUUUAGCUAACUGGGGGGCCCCCUAGGGGUUAAACUCGUAGAAAAGACAUCUGUUUCACUCUCCUUGUAAAAUACUCGUGCCACAGAAAUCCCUGGGUUAAGCUUGUAUACUCUACCUUUUAUUAACAUAGGGUUUCUAGCCUGUAUUUUUCUAAGUCUUACAACACAAUCUAUGAUUCAGCCUGUUUCUUUAUACUAAAAAAGUGCAACUGUUUUAAAUGUCAUGGCAAUAUAUGUAAAUGUUUGACCAUAAUAAGCCCGCGGAUGCUGUCGUGGCUAUGUGAGCUUGUAUGUUAUUCUUUUACUGCACACUAAAAUAAAGAUUUUUAAAAAAAAAACAAAAAAAAAAGGAAAGACUUCGACAAUUAGGCCUUUCGGAAGCAGUGGUCAAUACCCUUUUGCGGUCUAGGGAGGGUUCUACUUCCUCGUGCUACCAUAGAAUCUGGAUAUAUUCAGAGAAUGGGCAUCGGCUGAGAACAUUGACUUCACAAUACUCAGAUCCUGGAUUUCCUCCAAGAAGGUCUGGACAAAGGCCCCUCCUUGGGACCUUCCUCUUGUUCUCAACUUCCUGACUGAUGAUCUGUUCGUUCCACUUGAAAAUUUGGAUACUACCCUUCUGACUUACAAGACUUUGUUUUUGGUGGCUAUUACUUCCACAAGAAGAAUUUUAGAGAUUAAAGCCUUUUCUACCAUGUCUUCCUGCCUACAGAUCUGUGAAGAAAAUAACCUUUUAAUUCGUGACUUUUAUGUUCGGUAGUUUAACCCCUUAAGGACCAAACUUCUGGAAUAAAAAGGAAUCAUGACAUGUCACACAUGUCACGUGUCCUUAAGGGGUUAAACUAUCGAACACCGACCACCCCCCUGGAUAAUUAUCUACAAAGGGAAACUGUAGAUAGAGCACGCUCUCUCUGGGUGGCCGCCGUUCGUAUAGCCGAACUCCACGUGUGGGAGAAAAUGGCGGCCAUCUUGUUUGCACGAAAGGAGGCAGCGGGACUUUGUCGUCGAGUGUCUGGAACUAAAAUCGGACACUCGACUUCCCGAACACCGGUAAAAACAUACGAACACCUGCUUUCUUUUCCUGAACAGCUAGGAGAGCGCUGUUCGGUAGUUUUGUUCCCACGACAUUGUCGAAAUAGACCGACUGCACAGCCUAAACUCAUGGAACUGUUUUGGGCAGGAGCCUCGUGUGCAGUCGGUCAAAUGUGACUUCCAUGAAAUUCGAAAACUCCUGAACUGAUCUGGGUGAUUUUUGGAUAUGUUGGUCACCCAGAUCAGGGCUAUCAGGAGAUGUGACAUUUAUGGGGGUCCUGUAUGUCUUGGGGUGUUUUCCAAGUAUUCUGGAAAAUCGUCUUCUCUCUGCCUGGAGAUAAUUAAGUUAUUACUUUAUCUGACCCAAUUAUCUCCAGGCAGAGAGGAGGGAAUUAACUGUUUUUACUGGGAGUGUCACUGUUUGUCCCUGCAUUGUCAUUGGCUGUAUUAAGUUAUGUCCCUGUUCCAUCAGGUCCAGGGGGUGUUCCUCUGGCGUGGAGAAUUGCAUAAAAGCCAGUGUGGCACAAUAAAGCUUCAUUCCUGUUGUACCCUUCAUGAAGUCUAGGCUCAUGUUUAGGUAGCUGUCUACUUGCUGGGGAGAAAGUACUUGAAUGCUGCAUUCGUCUGGAACUAUUCACAUCUACACCCGAACUGCAACUAUAAUCACUACGGCUUAGCAGUUCGGGAGGAAUAGGCGAACAAGGUACUUAAAAUACUAGUGUUCGUAACAAAAUCUAUCAGGAUAGGGUGUGUCUGAAACCAAAACCUAAGUUUCUUCCUAACGCGGUCUCUGUCUCAUCUCUCGCAAGUGGUCCUUCCAUCAUUCUAUCCCAAUCCAACUUCUAAUGAAUAAGUUAGGUGGCAACGUUUGGAUGUUAAGAACUGUCUGUGUCAAUACCUUUUUCGUUCUAAGUCAUACAGGAAGACUGACCAACUCUUCGUUCUACCUUCAGGAGCUAGGAGACGCGACGCAGCUUCUUUAUCUACGUUGAAAUGUUGGAUUUUGCUAAUAAUCAGGAAAGUGUCAGUCUAUAAAGGCUCCUCCAAUAAAGAUAGGAACACAUUCUACCAGAGCAUUGUCGACUUCAUGGGCUAAUUGGGCAUAGAUUCCAUACAAUAUUUGCAGAGCAGCCACCUGGUCUUCCCCGAUGUUGUUCAUAAAACACUACAAACUGGACGUGGCCUUUCCUUCCACCUCUUUUGGGAAGUGUUCUGUCCACGGUUUCUUUAUCCCACCAAUAUUAACUUUCUUUGCAGCACGAGUGUCUGCAUAAUCUUUUUAUCGGUUUCUUUAUUCCCACCCUAUAUUUCUGUGAGCUUGGGUAUAACCCAUAAGUGAUGCUGCUAUGAUUAGCCAGGAAUCGAGAAAAUGUAUGACAAACUUACCAUAAUUUUCUUUUCCUGGCUAUUUCUCAUGUCAGCAUCAGGGUUCCCGUACAUGCCUUUAUUUUAUUUUUUUCCCCAGCUUUAUAAUUGGACUGUGGUGUAAGGGGAGGAGGUACUCUUUAUACCUAUCAGUCUAAUUAAUUCCUGUCCUGUGACUGCUAAGGGAGGAGCUACCCAUAAGUGAUGCUGCCAUGAGAAAUAGCCAAGAAAAGAAAAUUACUGUAAGUUUGCCAUAAAUUUCCUCUUACUCUUUAGGUUAGCAAGUUGCUAGUGACCACUUUUACUGCCAUGAUUAGCCUGGUUUUUCCAUAUUAAGAUAUACCCAAAAUGCGAUAAACCCAUGCAAGUAGAAAAUUAUCUUCAGUGUUCAUCUACAGGUAACAAUUAUUUGUUUGUCAUAUUUGUAUGUUAUUUCACUGUUGCCUCCAAUAUCACCUCCCCUAUAAAAUGUUUAAGCAUUUCUCGUAAAGUAGUCCCUGAAAAAGGAG
rnacentral:lncRNA from 1 species